GUCAGCAUCAAGACCAACAUCAUCAGAAACAAAUCCAAUAUUACGGCAUGUGUCACGCACAAUCUUCUCAUAGUCUACAAUAGCCUUGGUUGUGAUCUCACCAAAGACCAUGACCAAGUUGGUCUUGGUGCAAGUUUCACAUGCAACUUUGCUCUCGGGAUCUUGCUCAAGGCAGGCAUCAAGAACUGCAUCAGAGAUCUGAUCACAGAGCUUGUCUGGGUGACCCUCGUUCACAGACUCGGAGGUGAAUAAGAAAGUUUCCAUUCUCAAGAAACAGGAAAGUGAAGAACCCAACGGCGAACAAAGAGAAAAAGAGGAUUAUAAAUGUCGAAAAGGGGCAAUCUUUUUACCCCUUGAGAGAAAUAACCUCUUUGUAUUUUUGGUUCGC
rnacentral:misc_RNA from 1 species